GACGAACGCUGGCGGCGUGCUUAACACAUGCAAGUCGAACGGAAAGGCCCUGCUUUUGUGGGGUGCUCGAGUGGCGAACGGGUGAGUAACACGUGAGUAACCUGCCCUUGACUUUGGGAUAACUUCAGGAAACUGGGGCUAAUACCGGAUAGGAGCUCCUGCUGCAUGGUGGGGGUUGGAAAGUUUCGGCGGUUGGGGAUGGACUCGCGGCUUAUCAGCUUGUUGGUGGGGUAGUGGCUUACCAAGGCUUUGACGGGUAGCCGGCCUGAGAGGGUGACCGGCCACAUUGGGCCUGGGAUACGGCCCAGACUCCUCGGGGAGGCAGCAGUGGGGAAUAUUGCACAAUGGGCGGAAGCCUGAUGCAGCAACGCCGCGUGCGGGAUGACGGCCUUCGGGUUGUAAACCGCUUUCGCCUGUGACGAAGCGUGAGUGACGGUACUGGGUAAAGAAGCACCGGCUACUUCCGU
rnacentral:rRNA from 1 species